rnacentral:rRNA from 1 species
AGAUUGAACGCUGGCGGCAUGCCUUACACAUGCAAGUCGAACGGCAGCACGGGAGCAAUCCUGGUGGCGAGUGGCGAACGGGUGAGUAAUACAUCGGAACGUGCCCAAUCGUGGGGGAUAACGCAGCGAAAGCUGUGCUAAUACCGCAUAAGAUCUACGGAUGAAAGCAGGGGAUCGCAAGACCUUGCGCGAAUGGAGCGGCCGAUGGCAGAUUAGGUAGUUGGUGAGGUAAAGGCUCACCAAGCCUUCGAUCUGUAGCUGGUCUGAGAGGACGACCAGCCACACUGGGACUGAGACACGGCCCAGACUCCUACGGGAGGCAGCGAGUGGGAAUUUUGGACAAGUGGGCGAAAGCCUGAUCCAGCCAUCGCCGCGUGACGAGGAUGGAAGGUCCGUUCGGGUUAGUAAACGUUGGUCUUUUUAGGUAACGGUAAACGAAAAGUU